rnacentral:sRNA from 1 species
UGCCUAACCCUUAUAAGAAAUUAUAAGGUAUGGCAUAAAAUCGUUGAACACAUUAAACCCGUCAUUCGGGGGUCGUGUUCAACGUUAUACAGGGAAACUUGUAUAUGAGUCGCAAGACUCA